UACGAAGGGGGCUAGCGUUGCUCGGAAUCACUGGGCGUAAAGGGUGCGUAGGCGGGUCUUUUAAGUCAGGGGUGAAAUCCUGGAGCUCGAACUCCAGAACUGCCUUUGAUACUGAGGAUCUUGAGUUCGGGAGAGGUGAGUGGAACUGCGAGUGUAGAGGUGAAAUUCGUAGAUAUUCGCAAGAACACCCGUGGCGAAGGCGGUUCACUGGGACGGUACUGACG
rnacentral:rRNA from 1 species